GUGGACUUUGGCGGGAGUAGCUCAUGGAUGCAACUCGGUUUUCCAUGCAGUCACCCCACCAUUCAUUCAUCAUUCACUUAUUCCUCAAAGGUCAGUGGCCGCUGCAGAAACAGUGCCAAGAGUUAGGGAUCCAGCGAUGAAACAAAACCCAGCCUUCUCCCUGGAGUUUGUAAUGAAGGAAGUGAGACCAGGAACGCACGAGCAAAAUACAAGCGUAUACCGUCGUGGUGUUUGCAGAGGCUGUUUCUGCGAGUCCCGUAACUGGCCCAGGUCACAGCUGGUGGAGUAAAGCAGAGCAGACAGUGCUGUAUUCGGAUACAAAGUUCCAUGGACCGUGUAGCUGGAUUUUUAAAGAAAUGACAGCUCAGAGAUGGGGAUUCCUUGGUGGCAGCUGGAGAAGUUCCUCUCGGCAUCCCUAUUAUCUUAGAGACAGAGGAGUCCGGGAAGCAAGAGUUUAACAGAAUGAAGCUCUGCCUCAUCCAGUGUCGUCCUUACAAGCACCGCCAUGUUGGAGCUCAGUACUUCAGCCACUGUGUUAAUCAUCUCAUCGAGGGACUUCCUCCUUUUCCUGACACGCUACCAAGUGUGAUACUUUCUCCAAGAGCUGGCCCCUCUUUGAUAAUGUGGCCAAAGUGCAUGAAACAAAGCCUCGCCAUCCUCACUCUGGAGAAGCCUUUGGCUGUAGUUUUAUGAUAGAUUUGCUUGUUUCUUGAAGUCCAUAGCAUAUCAACCCCAUUCUGCGGUAUAUAGCUACGAGAUGAAAAGCAAUGACAAGGAAAGGUACAUGCACCCCAAUGAUUACAGAAGCACUGUUCACAAUAGUCAAAAUGCCGACCAACCUAGAUAUCCAUCAACAAACAUAAAUACACAAAAUGGGGUACAUGCACAAAAAUAUUAGCCACGGAGAGAAUUGAAGUGAUACAUGCAACACGAACGAACCUUCAAAACAUGAUGCGGAGUUAAAACACGCCACUCACAAAGGGGCACCUCUGAGGGUAAGUCAAAAAGUAUUGCUAGUCGGGUUCCAGUUCACACACAUCUAUCCACACAGAAAGACGAGACAAAAGAUCAACAGAGACCAUGCAGCCAGAAGGCAGUGGAACCUCUGAGGCGCCUAAAGAAAAACUACCAACACAGAAUGUGAUUUGCAGCAAAAAUAUCUUUCAAAACUCCAAAGUGAAAUAAAGCUUUCUUCAGACAAACCAAUCUGAAGAGUUCGCUGCCAGCAGACCUGUACUACAUCUCUUUGGGCAGAAAAUACUGAUAGAAAUUUGCAACUAUACAAACAAAAGAAGAAUGCUAGAAAUGAUGGCUAUGCAGGAAUGUGUAUUUUUGCUUAAUAUUUUAAUUUUCCUAAAAGAUGAAAAUUUCCACUGAGGCUAGGACAGCACAAUUACUGUAAUUACUGCCAAUAAACCUUCAAAACUA